rnacentral:rRNA from 1 species
GACGUAGGGCGCGAGCGUUGUUCGGAAUUACUGGGCGUAAAGCGCACGUAGGCGGAUUUGUAAGUCAGGGGUGAAAUCCCGGGGCUCAACCUCGGAACUGCCUUUGAUACUGCAAAUCUCGAGUCCGGAAGAGGUGAGUGGAAUUCCUAGUGUAGAGGUGAAAUUCGUAGAUAUUAGGAAGAACACCAGUGGCGAAGGCGGCUCACUGGUCCGGUACUGACGCUGAGGUGCGAAAGCGUGGGGAGCAAACAGG